AGUGAACGCUGGCGGUAGGCCUAACACAUGCAAGUCGAACGGCAGCACAGUAAGAGCUUGCUCUUACGGGUGGCGAGUGGCGGACGGGUGAGGAAUACAUCGGAAUCUACUUUUUCGUGGGGGAUAACGUAGGGAAACUUACGCUAAUACCGCAUACGACCUACGGGUGAAAGCAGGGGAUCUUCGGACCUUGCGCGAUUGAAUGAGCCGAUGUCGGAUUAGCUAGUUGGCGGGGUAAAGGCCCACCAAGGCGACGAUCCGUAGCUGGUCUGAGAGGAUGAUCAGGCACCAUGGGGCUGUGACGGAGACAGGGCGCAGCAGCGCGGCAGCAGUGGCGAUUAGGGGACAAGGGGCGCAAGCUGGAUACAGCCAUACUGCGUGGAAGAAGAAGGCCUUCGUGUUGUACAGCCCUUUUGUUGGGAAAGAAAAGCAGCAGGCUGAUACCCCGCUGUUCUGACGGUACCCAAAUAAUAAGCACCGGCUACCUUCGUG
rnacentral:rRNA from 1 species